ACGAACGCUGGCGGCAUGCCUAACACAUGCCAGUCGCACGAGACCUUCGGGUCUAGUGGCGCACGGGUGCGUCACGCGUGGGAACCUGCCCUUAGGUUCGGAAUAACUCCCCGAAAGGGGUGCUAAUACCGGAUAAUGUCUUCGGACCAAAGAUUUAUCGCCUUUGGAUGGGCCCGCGUUGGAUUAGCUAGUUGGUAGGGUAAAAGCCUACCAAGGCGACGAUCCAUAGCUGGUCUGAGAGGAUGAUCAGCCACACUGGGACUGAGACACGGCCCAGACUCCUACGGGAGGCAGCAGUGGGGAAUAUUGGACAAUGGGCGAAAGCCUGAUCCAGCAAUGCCGCGUGAGUGAUGAAGGCCUUAGGGUUGUAAAGCUCUUUUACCCGGGAUGAUAAUGACAGUACCGGGAGAAUAAGCUCCGGCUAACUCCGUG
rnacentral:rRNA from 1 species